UCAGUAUAUAUGUUAACAAUUAUGUGUUUUAACAACAGCAUUAGGGCUUUUCAGCUCUUAUUUCUGGCAAUGUAGGUGUUCUAACACCCUAGUCAUAUUGAGUUAGAGUUAUAGUUUUCCUUUUUGGUAAAACAUUACACACGGCUGUCGAUAUUAAUUUACACACGCACACACAC